UACGUAGGGACCGAGCGUUGUCCGGAAUCAUUGGGCGUAAAGAGCGUGUAGGCGGCCACUUAAGUCCUGCGUGAAAUCUUGCGGCUCAACCGCAAGCGGUCGUGGGAAACUGGGUGGCUAGAGUGCGGGAGAGGAGAGUGGAAUUCCUGGUGUAGCGGUGGAAUGCGCAGAUAUCAGGAAGAACACCCGUGGCGAAGGCGGCUCUCUGGGACGGUACUGACGCUGAGACGCGAAAGUGUGGGGGAGCGAACAGG
rnacentral:rRNA from 1 species